rnacentral:sRNA from 1 species
UUAAAUUGAAAGUUAGUGGUAUGGUUAUUUAAAAACUCAUUAAAAACAAUUUAAAAAGAGAUAAUUUCUCACUGUAAUUGUGUACUUUUCUCCAUUUCCAUUGCUUAUAUAGAUACUUAUUGCUUCUUCUUACCAUCUUUUAAAUGAUGUUUAGUUACUUAUAAUAGUUUUCUUUAUGUGAGCAUAGUUAUAAACACACAUGAUAGUAUAAAAUAAUACAAAGAAUAGUGUACUCUAUCUUACUUAUCAGUUUGUAAAUACUCAUUUGUGUGUGUGUGUGUGUGUGUGUGUGUGUGUGUGUGUGUGUGUGUGUACUUUUAACGUGAGUGAGGCAUGUGCCUUGAGAGUGUGGCGGUUGCCAUGGCAACAGAAGCAAGCAGGUCUUUGUUACCUAAAGAUGAUGUCAUUGCUGGAUUCAGAGGCUAGCUGUAAACCACUUCUGAUUAUAACAUACCUCCCUUUUUCUUAUCAUAGAGGGAAGAGAAAAGGGAAAUAGGGGAAGCCGAUGCUAAAAGGGAAAUAGGGGCUUUAGACAUCUUAAACUGCUCCCUGCUGUCUAGGAGCAUUAUCAGUUUUGGGGUGUAGCUGACUUUCACCAUCCGGGUCCACUUGAUAAUUGUGUAAAAGGAAAUGUUUGAGUUUUCAGUUAGAAAAUUUUGACUUUUUCUUUGAAGGAAUGUGGAAACAAGAUUAAUGAGGCAGGGAGGAAAUAGUAGCUCCAGGAAAAUGGGGAGAAGAGGCAUUAAGAAGGGCAGUAUCCUAUUUCCAUGUAGGGUUUUCAAAAACCCAGGAAUUGGAGGCCUCAUGCUGUUCCCUAAAUUUCUAGAUGUCUGGUUGCAGCUGAUGGAAUUUAUUUCUUACUGUCCCAGAUUCAUUGACAUAGAAACAGCAUUCUUCCUGGAGAAACAGACAAAGACCACCUUCUUUAGCUGUCAGAACAUCUAGUCCCUGUCAGUUCUGAAGCACAACUGGUGCCAAAGAAUCGAUCUUUUUCUGGAUUAUGAGCAUGGUUUCAUACAUUCCUUGGAAACCGUUGUCAAGCUGGGAUAAGAACUUCUUGUAUAGGGUUACGGAAAUCGUCGGCCCUGCUGUUCCAGUGCCAGCACCUGUAGCUACUUCUGCAGCAACCAGGAAUAGCACAACCUGCAGUGCCCUCUUAUGCUGGACAGGUAUAUGUCAAAAACUGGAAUUGGUAGAGAUUCUUUGCCAUGUAUUACUCCUAGUUCAGGGAAGGAACACCAGUGUGCAAACUCCUCUUGACCAGCUGGCAGGUAUGCUACAGGUACAAAGGAGGGUCAAAGUUGGUGACCUAAAUUUCCAAAUGUUGGUAUCAGGAACUGCUUUUGCCUCCAGCAAUGAUGAUGAUGUCAUCUGGUCACCUGAGCAUCUGUUGUCAAGGCAACGGUCAUCCAUUUCCAGCAUACAUUUCAUGUUACAGUUACACCACAUUUCACAUAA